AUAAACAAUUAUUAAUUAGAAAUUAUUUAAAAAAUAAUUAUAAAAAAUAAUAAUUAGUGAGAUAUUUUUUUUUAAAAAAAAUAAAUAUAAUUGAUAUGAUAUAAUAUGUAUACCAAAUGUAUUGUGUGCUGCUGUGUAAAGUGACGAAACCAUAACAGUUACGGAAGUUUCACACGGAAAAUGGGCAUUGUAACAAUGUCUAUACUCAUUCUAAUACAUUCGUCCUUCCAAGAAAAUUAGUUCAAGUCGGGUAUCAUAUGACCCAACUACCUUACUUUUUUUUUGCAAAUUAAUUAGUCACUCUCAUUUUCGGCAGUCAAAACUGCCACUCUCAUUUUCAGAGAGACGAUGAUGCUAUCAGCAUAUGACAUUAGCUAUGUUCUAGAAUAGAAAUACUAUAAAACUCCAUGCAAUAGUUGAUUUUAUUGUAAAAAUAACCUAAAAAUGCAAUAAAAUCCCAGGCUGGAGAUUUCUGAACCGCUGGUCAAAAAAAUGAAAGGUAUAGGAAGAUAGUGCCUAUGGAGUCAAGGAUUCUGUAAUUAGAAUCCUUCUACAAAGUCAGUCAGGAAUAAAAUUUCGGUAUGCAGCAAAACUCGCUUUCAUACCACCAACAAUGUAGCCGAGUACGAGACCAUAAUCAUGACACUAAGGAUUAUGGUAGAAAUAUAUAUAUAUAAAUCUGUUAUUUUUAGUGACGCACAACUAGUUAUUAAUCAGUGACAGUUCAAAGUUUGGGAUCCAAAUCUCAUCAAAUAUGAAGAGAAAAUCCAGUCUUUAAGGACGAGGAUCAAGGAGAGGCAAGGCGAAUGUCAACUUCGCCAAGUGGCUAGGAAAAAAACUGAUCAGUUGGCAAAAAUGGUAGCGGUAGGCGAGCAACACUACUCAGUCAUUCCAAUUCGAAGUACUACCCACUCUAGUAACCAAUGAAGAUGAGUCUCUAUCCAUCAAGGAGGGAGAAUCGUAGAUGACUCCGGUGUACAGAUUGCUGAUCGAGGACGAGUUGCCAAUGGAUGAAGUAUCGGCCAAACAGAUAAUAAAAAGGUUCUCUAGAUAUGCACUAAUAAAUGGUUGGUUGUACAGAAGAUCGUUAAUACAAUCGUGGUUACGGUGCGUAACAAAGGAUGAUGGUCGGAGUAUUCUCAGAGAUAUCUAUGAAAGGAGAUUGCGGAAGCCAUUAGGAGCUUGGACGAUCACUUGGAAGGCACUCAGACAAGGAUAUUACUCACUAAAGGUAGUGCAGGAUGUAAAGGAACUUGUCCAGAAGUGCUGAUGGUGUCAAGUGCAUGCAAACAUUCCUUGAACCCUCGGUGAACUGCAAGCAGCAAUUGGAAGCCCUGGCCCUUUUUUUUCAAUGGAGGCAAGACAUCUUUAGCCUAUUUCCAAAAGCAACAAGGUCAAGGAAGUUCGUGAUUGUGACAGUUAACCAUUUCAGCAAGUGGGCCAAGGCAAAAGCAGUCUAGUCCAUCACCACGCAAUAGACAAUCUCCUUAGUCAGUAAAUUCACCCAUUUCAGAAUCUCUAAGGUAGUUAUCACUGAUAAUGUGACUCAGUUUGCGAGUUUCAAGUUUAAAGACUUGUACAGGAAAUGAAAAAUUGACCUAAGAUUUAGCUCAGCAUUCUUUCCUCAAACUAAUUGCAUGAUUGAGAUUACAAAUAGGACAAUUCUAUAAGAUUUGAAGAAAAGGCUCGACAAAGCCAAAGGCAAUUGGCUCGAGGAGCUAACCCAUAUCCUCUAUGCAUAUAGAAUAACUCCAAGAGCAACUACAGGAGAAAUCUCGUUCUCACUGGUAUAUGGGGCUGAAGAAUUAAUUCCUAUGGAGGUCCAAGUAAGUAAUUUCAGGACUCAGUACGCCGAGUCCUCAGAGGACCCCGAGAAGAUGCAAUUCAACCUUGACUAAGCCGAGUUGUUACGAGAGCAAAUUGCGAUUAGAAUGGCGGCCUACAAGAGUAAAAUGUCCCAGAUGUUCAACACUAGAGUCAAACUCCGAGUCUUUAAUGUAGGAGAUUUAGAGAAUAAGGACUGAUGUAACAAGCGAUAGUGUCGGGUCUAAUAAGUUGGGUGAAAAUUGAAAAUAAGUAUUUAGAGUCUCAAAGGUUAUUUGCUCUGGGGCUUAUAAGUUGACCAAGUUAAACGGCCGAGUUAUUCUUCAUUUUGGAAUAUUUGUAAUUUAUGCACGUUUUAUUAAUAAAUAUUAACGAAG
rnacentral:lncRNA from 1 species